rnacentral:lncRNA from 1 species
GGGGCUGCGUGCUGGGCGACAAGGAUCCCAUAGCUCCACGCGGUGCUCGCAGCCCGAGUAACUCCAGAACAAACAGCGUUUUCCUGCAUGUGGUGCUCAGUCCGUAAGAUCCCGAAGAACCUCUGGCAGCAGAUCCGUGCCCCGGGGACGAAGGCAGAGGCAGGGCAGGGGACUUGGCCCCAGCUCCCCAGCCUCCCACCACAGCCCCUUGCAGUGCCAUCUGAGCUAUUUUUCCAACUCGAGCCAGGCUGCCUCAUCAUGUCCUCGGUAUGAAAAAAUUUGUGAAGAGGGGCAACGUUUGAUCCCUAAAAGCUUUCAGAAGUGUUAAUUCCAUGUCUGGAAUAUUGUCACGGAGCGGCCAAAUUCCAGCACGUAGAAAUGCACAGGCUGUGCCCAGGGGGUGAAUGCAGCCAGCUCAAAGCCCUGCCAUGUGGAGAAGGGCAUUGCUUGCUAGGCUUUGUGUUUGGGCUUUUAUGAUGCUUUUAAAAUGAGAAGCUCUUAUCGUGGUUCAUUUGCUUCCAUGCUUGUGGUUUUGCCACUUGGGGGCAAUUAUAGGAUCCUGUGAUGCAUGCAGAAGUUUAGAUGGUGAAUGAUGUGGCUAUUUUUUGGUGGACUUGUGUUGGCAUUGAGCUGGAAGAUGUCAGCGCACUCUGGUCCAACCAAGCUGAGGAUUAUCUGUGCAUGGCCACACAGCAUCUUCUGUUGGUGACACUCCUUGACUGUUUGGAAAGGAAACGCUGAUAGAAGUUUAAACACAAGCUGUUCAUGAUUUUGCUUUCUGUAAUAAAGCAAAGCUCUUAAUUAAGAUCCACUACGCUUUUUUUUUUUUUCCCAGUGCAUUUUAAAUGUAUUAUUUGCUUUGAGUUUCCAGAAUGUCAUUUUGGUUCUUUUUUUGUCCCACCAGCAUUGAUCUCAUUUGGAGAUUUGUCAACAUCACACAAACAGCACCAGGAAAAGCCACAAGAUACUGCAUAGAGCCCAGAACAACUGACAGUGGGAGGACUUCUUUCCAGGAGAUACAUUUUUCACUGGUUUAUCAGCCUCUGCUUUUACGGAUCUCUGGGGAUAUAAGAACAAGUUCAGCUCGCAUCAUCCUUCUCCGUUUGGCUGACAUGUAA